CGCCCGCAAGCCCCAUCCGAGCCAUCGGGGGCCGGGGGUCCAGCGAGAGGAGCCGCGAGGAGAGCGCUCCUCGCGCUCCAGAAAGCAGCCCGGAAGACGAAGGCGAUCCCUGCCGGCCGGCGGGCGCUCCGAGGAUCCAGAGAUCCCUGCAGAGCUUCUCUAUUGCCACGGCCGCCAUUGCUCUGGAAGACGACAGAUCAGCUGAAAGCAGCUGCCCCCGGUUCGAUGAUCUACUGUGUCAAAGCGGUACCUCGAUGGCUAACAGGCUGCUAGCCUCUCCGGCCAUGGUUUCCCAAAGAUCUCCGUGGCUCUGGGGCUGGAGCUCUGAGUGAUGACUGAAAGGCCCCAGUUCCCUCUUGAACCACCCAGUUCUCUAGAAAGAUGGAACUCCUGAAGGCAAAUCCAAGCGCUCCUCUGAAUCAGCACAUCCAAAAUCCUAAGGAAUUCUGGAUGUGACAGCAGGAUCAUUCCUGAUUUGGGGUGGGAAUACAUCAAACUCAAUUGCGGUGCUGAGAAGAGAGCUUUGGUGAGUAUCUGCAUGGACCAAGAAACGGGAAGAGGAUGCGUGAAAUCCAGCCUGGAGUGGUCCUGAUGCAGAAAGACGUGAAAGGGAAAAAGACUUACAGAAAGGAAGAAGGCACUCAACCUCCCACCCACAGUCUUUUCCCAUUCGACAGUGCCUUUAGAUCUGAAAAAAGAAAGUCUCAGUUGCUCAGUCAUGUCCAUCUUUUUGCGACCCCAUGGACUGUAGCCUGCCAGGCUCCUCUGUUCAUAGUAUUCUCUAGGUCCCUUUAGAUCUGGGGUCAGGAUAAUUAUCAGGAGGGACUACUCAUUGAGAGGAACCUGUUUUUUGUUUUUUUUUUUUUGAGAGCCAUAUGGAAGCCAAGAAAUGAAACAGAGUGGGGAGCAGAGUUCCUGGGUCAGCCUAAGCCCUGCAGAGAAAGUGCAUGGUGGACGCUCGCCCUGGGAGUGGAUGUGAGUCUGAGUGUUCUUCUCAAGGGUGCUGAUCUUUUCAGGAUCAGAUGAACACUGUGUCCCUCUGCCCUGCAAACAGCACACGUGCACAGAGACGGUGUUUACAUGGCAACCUGCAGAAGCCCAGCUGGGGCCCUGAGCUAGCAAGCCCUGCUGAGAAAGGGGUUUUUCAGGAAGGAGGCAGCCCUGAGCCCAGACUCCCUGUGAUCUAGGCUAAUGGGUGUUAGUGACGUGGAAGAUUCAGAAGGAAGCAAAUCUAAACACGAGUUCUGUAAUGUGAAGUGAAGAAAGGAACAAAUAUGAUGCUUGCACUUUUCAGUUCUGUAAAAAAUCCACACCUAGAGAGAGAAGAGUGCAAAGGCAAUAUGGAGAAAUGAAAACUUUUUGAGUGAAGUUUUUUUUAUUCUAAAAAUUUGCUUUAAUAUCAUUAUGAAGUUAUUUUAAUAAUAGAUUUAAUUUUUUCUAUGUUACAUAAAGUGCUUUUCCUCCA